rnacentral:tRNA from 1 species
GCCGGCAUAGCUCAGUUGGUAGAGCAGCUGAUUUGUAAUCUGAAUCUGGCGUUUUGCCGGCU